rnacentral:lncRNA from 1 species
CCUGUUCUAGUCUAAUUGGGCUUUCGACCCAUUUCACCUGUCCUAAUCUAAUUUUCGAGCCUUUGGCUCAAAUUUCGCUCCACCUGUAUUAAAUACAACUUUUGGCCUCCAAUAAAUCAAUAAGUAAAUAAAUAGAGACUUUCUAGUCUCUUUUCCGCUUCAAAAAUGGGAUCUUAACCCAUUUUUCUUCUUCCAUCUUCUUGCAUCAAUACAUCUCACGCCAUUUGAUCGACUUCGGACAUAAACUUUGAGGAGGUAGACCUCAUUGGUCCAUUCGUAAAUGCAAUGGGAGGGAGUCCGCCAUGGAUUCCAAAACAGUUGACAUGCAAAAGGAAGAAGGAAAAAGAUUAGGGUCCUAUAGAUAUUCAGAUCACCGGCUUUGUACAAAUCAAACAAGAUAAGACAAACUCUGUUCUAUCUGUGAUUAAUCAAAAGUAAUCUAAGUUAUCACUAUCCAAAUAGCAAGAUGACCAAAACAUAAUAUCAAAUCAAUUUUAUGAAAAACUUUGAUUCAUUAAGUAAAAAGGAGUAUAACCGGUUAGAACUCAAAAGAAAAUAGUUAAAGCCGGACAUUUAAAAGGACGAGCAAGUUUACGAACCUCAAAGCAAGACAAAAUUACUUAAGAACUCUAUUGGAUUUGCGCUCACAGUGCAGUUAUUUUCAAAUUUCAAAGGUUUUAGGGAUCCUAGAUAGGUAGGGCAAUAUUUAUAUGCAAAAUCAACCCAAGGAAAAUAAAAUUUUUAUGCACACGAAAAUCACUAAUGAUAACCUAAUGUCCUUAAAGGAAACAUAUUACUCCCAAUCAUAGCAUGAAAAAUUAAACAAAUUCAUCUAGAAAUAAGGAUUCGGCCUUGAAUGAAAUGCACAUUUCUUUUAUCAUACAAAUUGCACGUAUAUCUCAUGCAUAACAGGGUCAUAGAGGGAUCCUCGGAUGAAAUACCGUUCAUUAUGGACUUACUCAUCGAUAUCACCAAUCAAGAGAAAACUGAGAGAAGUCACAAUAUAUUUAGAGCAAACAAGAUAGUCCAAAUAACCAUCAAGACGGAAAUAAAAGGGAUGGGAGCAGGAUAGCGAAUUCAAAAAUUUGGUGAACGAAAUCUUAACUAGAACAAUCAAAUAGAAGAGAAAGUAACUCAGGGAAACUAUAAUCAAACAAAAUGUUCAGUGAUGAAACUAAAACCAACAUAUAUUUAAUCAAUAUGAAACGGUAAAUCAAAGAACGUUUAAACCCGAGAAGACCAAAGGCAGCAUACAAACUAAAAUGAAACACUUUGAAAUUGAAAGAAACAAUAAUGCUAACAUCAAUCAUGUGUCGAUAAGUUUUGCGAUUAACGGGCAUAACAAUUCUCUCCUAAGCAAAAUGAAAACAAAGCCAUGACUUCUCAAUCAUGCAGCCAAAACAACAAGCCAAAUAGAACCAGAAUAUUUAUUCAACACAAGGGAUUAUAAUCACAGAAAUUCUAAGGCCUUCGAGGCUCCUACAGCUACUCCCACAGCAAACAAUCAAAACUACUACCACAAUCACAACGCAACAAUAUGAGAAAAGUAAAAUCGAAGACUUAACCGAAUGUUGGGCAAUAAAACGGGACCUCGAACUUCGUCGGAAUUCGCCACCACCACCGGAAACAACCUUCAAACCUUCGAUUAAACGAAAAAAAAAAAAUUAACUGUAAAAGAUUCAACUCUUUGCUCGAAAGUAUUUUUUACCCCUUCAAGACUUGGUCCUUUUAGCUCAAUAGUGAGCCUUUUAUAGGAGACUAUCGGGGUUCCUUUUUUGGGCUUCCACCGAUGUGGGAACAACUAUUUUGAGGGUAAUUUCAGAAAUUCGAAUAGGGGGGAUUCAAAUUUUGAAAAGGGGAUUCGAUUGUGAGCUGGAAUUGUACGAGAUUCGUACAAAUUUGCAACGGUUUGGUGUUGAGCUGUCCCGCUUCGGAAGCUUCGACGAAGCUGCAUCGAGCUUCGAUUGUGAGCUGGAAUUGUACGAGAUUUGUACAAAUUUUCUUGAUAUUGUCGUUGCUUUACUGAUAUUAUUGAAGGAGAAGGGGUAAUACGGGCCGGGUCGGUGCUGGAUAAAAUUGAAGGGGUUUAGCUGAUGGGUCAGGUGGAAUUGGGC